AAUUAUAAUACCGUCUUUGUCGUGUACACGGUAAAUCUGUUCACCCGUCCGAUCCAAAUGUUUUACCACGGCCGACCCAUCGAGUCUACUUCCUGACGCAUAGCGCUCGUCCUUGACACAUGCAUUCGCGCAGUAGAAAACGUUCGUUCCGCAGACGACGGAAUGAUGACCGGAAACGCUGUUGUCAACACCGGGACCGUAUAAACAGUGUACGGCCGUAUAAACCCGGGUGAUCGGGGGAAGGG